rnacentral:pre_miRNA from 1 species
GUAAUACUCCCUCCGACCCAAAAUUCUUGUAUUAGAUUUGUGUAGAUAUGAAUAUAUCUAGUCACAUUUUAGUAUUUAGAUACAUCCAUUUCUAGACAAACCUAAGACAAGAUUUUUGGGACAGAGGGAGUAGUUA